GCGGGUGUAGUUCAAUGGUAGAACGGGAGCUUCCCAAGCUCUUAGCGUGGGUUCGAUUCCCAUCACCCGCU
rfam:Aeromonas diversa 2478-85 Contig 8, whole genome shotgun sequence.